AGAGUUUGAUCCUGGCUCAGAGCGAACGCUGGCGGCAUGCUUAACACAUGCAAGUCGCACGGUCAGCAAUGGCAGUGGCGGACGGGUGAGUAACACGUAGGAAUCUAUCCCGGGGUGGGGGACAACAGUGGGAAACUACUGCUAAUACCGCAUGAUACCUGAGGGUCAAAGGCGCAAGUCGCCUUGGGAGGAGCCUGCGUCUGAUUAGCUUGUUGGUGGGGUAAAGGCCUACCAAGGCGACGAUCAGUAGCUGGUCUGAGAGGAUGAUCAGCCACAUUGGGACUGAGACACGGCCCAAACUCCUACGGGAGGCAGCAGUGGGGAAUAUUGGACAAUGGGGGAAACCCUGAUCCAGCAAUGCCGCGUGUGUGAAGAAGGUCUUCGGAUUGUAAAGCACUUUUGGCAGGGACGAUGAUGACGGUACCUGCAGAAUAAGCCCCGGCUAACUUCGUGCCAGCAGCCGCGGUAAUACGAAGGGGGCUAGCGUUGCUCGGAAUGACUGGGCGUAAAGGGCGCGUAGGCGGCGUACACAGUCAGAAGUGAAAUUCCUGGGCUCAACCUGGGGACUGCUUUUGAUACGUGUGUGCUAGAGUGAGGAAGAGGGUUGUGGAAUUUCCAGUGUAGAGGUGAAAUUCGUAGAUAUUGGAAAGAACACCGGUGGCGAAGGCGGCAACCUGGUCCUUUACUGACGCUGAGGCGCGAAAGCGUGGGGAGCAAACAGGAUUAGAUACCCUAGUAGUCC
rnacentral:rRNA from 1 species